CUACACAUGCAGUCGACGGUAACAGGAAGCAGCUUGCUGCUUUGCUGACGAGUGGCGGACGGGUGAGUAAUGUCUGGGAAACUGCCUGAUGGAGGGGGAUAACUACUGGAAACGGUAGCUAAUACCGCAUAACGUCGCAAGACCAAAGAGGGGGACCUUCGGGCCUCUUGCCAUCGGAUGUGCCCAGAUGGGAUUAGCUUGUAGGUGGGGUAACGGCUCACCUAGGCGACGAUCCCUAGCUGGUCUGAGAGGAUGACCAGCCACACUGGAACUGAGACACGGUCCAGACUCCUACGGGAGGCAGCAGUGGGGAAUAUUGCACAAUGGGCGCAAGCCUGAUGCAGCCAUGCCGCGUGUAUGAAGAAGGCCUUCGGGUUGUAAAGUACUUUCAGCGGGGAGGAAGGGAGUAAAGUUAAUACCUUUGCUCAUUGACGUUACCCGCAGAAGAAGCACCGGCUAACUCCGUGCCAGCAGCCGCGGUAAUACGGAGGGUGCAAGCGUUAAUCGGAAUUACUGGGCGUAAAGCGCACGCAGGCGGUUUGUUAAGUCAGAUGUGAAAUCCCCGGGCUCAA
rnacentral:rRNA from 1 species